AGAAUGAACGCUGGCGGCAGGCCUAACACAUGCAAGUCGAGCGAAGUCUUCGGACUUAGGCGGCGGACGGGUGAGUAACGCGGUGGGAACACUUACCCUUUGGGUAACGGAAUAGCCGUACGGGAAACGUGGGAGUAAUACCGUAUGUCGCCCGUUCGGGGGAAAGAUUUAUCGCCAAAGGAUUGGCCCGCGGUUGGAUUAGGUAGUUGGUGGGGUAAUGGCCUACCAAGCCGACGAUCCAUAGCUGGUUUGAGAGGAUGAUCAGCCACACUGGGACUGAGACACGGCCCAGACUCC
rnacentral:rRNA from 1 species